AGAGUUUGAUCCUGGCUCAGAUUGAACGCUGGCGGCGUGCCUAACACAUGCAAGUCGAGCGGUAACAGGUGUAGCAAUACAUGCUGACGAGCGGCGAACGGGUGAGUAAUGCUUUGGAAUCUUCCCAGUAGUGGGGAAUAACCAGUCGAAAGAUUGGCUAAUACCGCAUACGUCUGUAAAGGGAAAGCGGGGGCUCGUAAGACCUCGCGCUAUUGGAUGAGCCAAAGUCGGAUUAGCUAGUUGGUGGGGUAAUGGCCUACCAAGGCGACAAUCCGUAGCUGGUCUGAGAGGACGACCAGCCACACCGGAACUGAGACACGGUCCGGACUCCUACGGGAGGCAGCAGUGGGGAAUAUUGGACAAUGGGGGAAACCCUGAUCCAGCGACGCCGCGUGUGUGAAGAACGCCUGCGGGUUGUAAAGCACUUUUAGUGGGGACA
rnacentral:rRNA from 1 species